UUUUCUUUUCUUUUUUAAUUCAAUUUUCUUUCAAUUUCACAUUUCUGAUUUUAUUUUCUACUACUUGAUUUUAUAUCUAUUAUUUUCAUCAAUUGUUUUUAUUUCUUUAUUUUUGAUUUUAUCUUUAUGUUGCAAUAAUUUUCAUUUUAUUAGUAGUAUAAUUUGAUUAAUUUCAUUUUAAUUAUAUUUUAAUUCUAUUUUUUUUUGCAAUUUAAUCUUCAUUUUAUUUUUAGCAUAAUAA
rnacentral:lncRNA from 1 species